GAAAGCCGGAUGCGGGAAAACUGCAUGUCCGGUUUGACGAGGGGGAGCAAAUCUGCGGAAUGUGGCUUAUUUGCUCUCUACUCUAC
rfam:Desulfobacteraceae bacterium 4572_35.1 ex4572_35.1_scaffold_14314, whole genome shotgun sequence.